UACGUAGGGAGCAAGCGUUGUCCGGAAUCAUUGGGCGUAAAGCGCGUGUAGGCGGCUCGGUAAGUCCGCUCUGAAAGUCCAGGGCUCAACCCUGGGAUGCGGGUGGAUACUGCCGGGCUCGAGUCCGGAAGAGGCGAGUGGAAUUCCCGGUGUAGCGGUGAAAUGCGCAGAUAUCGGGAGGAACACCAGUGGCGAAGGCGGCACUCUGGGCCAGUACUGACACUGAGGAGCGAAAGCGUGGGGAGCGAACAGG
rnacentral:rRNA from 1 species